UGUUUUUGAGUUAAUAAGCUUUUAGGUUUUAUAAAAUUAGAUGAUUUAUUAUGUUUAUAAGAAGAUUAAAUUUUUUUGCUCAGCCUUACUUUUAAAGAAAGUCCAAAUUGCAAAGGGAAAACCAAAAGUAAAAAAUUUGCCUAUUUGUUCGAAAUUCAAAUCCUAAUUCACCACCUUAAUUUUCCUACCACCUGUACCCAUUGCACCUGUGAUGCGGACGGAGAGGCAGCAGUGAUAGCAGUUGUUUAUGUCCGAUGGAUUAUUUCUCUUCUUUGGUUUUUUUUUUCCUCGUACGUCUAGUUGAACAAAUUCUUUUUUGUUGCCUAAGUUUUGGCAAUCAAUGAAACUGGAUGGUGGGGUGGCUCUGACACGUAAAGAUACGUUCUGUAAGGUUAUUUUGGUUAUUUUUUCCCCUGAAAUAAUUUCUUGUUUGAUUUUUGAAUUUGAGACUGUAUUCUUUUAGAUUUAUUGGAAUUGGACUUUUUGGUAUUGCAUUGUAAUGAUUUUUUUCAUUCAUUUGAUGAUUUUUAUUAGUUUGAAUUAUUAGAGUGUUUGCAUUUAUUGCUGAAAGAAAAGAAUAAUAGCUUGGUUUCUUAAUUAUAACUAUUGCUUUUACCUUCUCCUUUACUGCUGGGCCUACUUCAUAAUCAUACAUAAUUCUUAAGUAUAUUGUUUUGAAUAUUUGAGCAUAAAAUUAUCAGUUUCUUUCUGGGGUUUUCUUUUUUCCUUUUUUGUUUUUUACUUAUGUACGAUGAUGCUUUAUUUUGAUUAGUCCUUAUGCAAAGAUUUAUAGAGCAAGUUUGGCAAAGCUUGAAAAAUUAUUUAUAUAAGUUGAAAAUAACUAUUUCUUUUGUCAGUUUAAGUUGAAUACAUGUAAAUUACUUAUUUUUUGAAAUCGUAAAUUACCUUUGACACUUGUGAUUGCCACCCAAGAGAUUCCAAGGUCAUCGGAAUUUAAGUCUAUUGAAUUUAUUCAAUACUGUGUUAAGCUGAUAUAUCAUUUAUAGGCAUAUGGGUAUCGAAAUGGGUUUAUUGCUUUUGUUCUUUUAUCGAAAUGGGUUUAU
rnacentral:lncRNA from 1 species